rnacentral:rRNA from 1 species
UACAGAGGUCUCAAGCGUUGUUCGGAUUCAUUGGGCGUAAAGGGUGCGUAGGCGGCGCGGUAAGUCGGGUGUGAAAUCUUGGAGCUUAACUCCGAAACUGCAUUCGAUACUGCCGUGCUUGAGGACUGGAGAGGAGACUGGAAUUUACGGUGUAGCGGUGAAAUGCGUAGAUAUCGUAAGGAAGACCAGUGGCGAAGGCGGCUCUCUGGGACGUGACUGACGCUGAGACGCGAAAGCGUGGGGAGCAAACAGG